rnacentral:lncRNA from 1 species
ACUGGUUGAUCACCUCCUUCAUGAAUCCUCAUAUGAAAAAGUCAAAUGCCAUUCUUUAACCUCUCCACGUCUAUCAGACCUCUCCCAAAGAUAUUCUGACCUUCCAAGUGAGACUUGAACUUCAAGCUACAUGUUGACCAAAACUUAGAUUUUCUAAGACAUGAACAUGUAACAUCCUUUCUGUCCAGCAACUCCAAGAACUGCAACGAGAACGACCUUUUUGAAGUAUCCAAUCUACAACCC